UACGAAGGGGGGCUAGCGUUGCUCGGAAUCACUGGGCGUAAAGCGCACGUAGGCGGAUCGUUAAGUCAGGGGUGAAAUCCUGGAGCUCAACUCCAGAACUGCCUUUGAUACUGGCGACCUUGAGUUCGGGAGAGGUGAGUGGAACUGCGAGUGUAGAGGUGAAAUUCGUAGAUAUUCGCAAGAACACCAGUGGCGAAGGCGGCUCACUGGCCCGAUACUGACGCUGAGGUGCGAAAGCGUGGGGAGCAAACAGG
rnacentral:rRNA from 1 species